GAUAAUCUGCAUUGCAAGUGGACCCAGUGUUUCUUUUCCUUCACUCCCCAAAGGUUGCUUUCACUUAGGAGGAGUUAGUCUAUACGAAUGCCGGGGUGCAUCUGAGCCCUUUUGAAGGCACUAUCUGCCACAAAGGUACGUGACAUUCUAAGUGGAAGUUGCAGUGACGUGACAGUGUCUGAUAGCUCUGCAGCGUGGAGGCAACAUUCUUCUGCAAUAAGUUUCCAGAGGAACUGUUAGUGAUUAAGGGCCUCAUCCUGUGCAUGUUAGCAGGCUGUGCUGACUG